GACCUAAAGGAUCCACCUGGAACACUCGAGAUUCAGGAGCAUGUUCAUUGUUUCCGUGAUCUGGGGGAUUAUAUAGCACAAAAUUAUGACUUCUUGAUUGUUCCAUUUUGAUAAUACUGAAUUUCUUUUCCCUCCAAUUCAACUUCAAUGGAAACAACUGGUGACACCACAAUGCUAUUAAUAACUUGAGAAUGCCAUAGAGAUGAAGCACAAUCCUUAGUGCAGCAGAAGGAAAACUUCGCUUGAAAAUAAGUUUAUUGACAUUUACACAAUACAUAUAUGUAAAAUUUGAGAAGCAUUGCCAGUACACACCAAAAAUCACAGUCUCAGCUCGUGAUACAGGAAACACUAGCAAUAGAAUUCAGGACCAGGAGCAAAAUGCACUGCAAAAAAGAAAAUAAAUCAAAUAUUUUAGACAAAGAGCU
rnacentral:lncRNA from 1 species